GAUGAACGCUGGCGGCGUGCCUAAUACAUGCAAGUCGAGCGAACAGACGAGAGUGCUUGCCCUCUCUGACGUUAGCGGCGGACGGGUGAGUAACACGUGGGUAACCUACCUAUAAGACUGGGAUAACUUCGGGAAACCGGAGCUAAUACCGGAUAAUAUUUAGCUUCGCAUGAAGCAAUAGUGAAAGACGGUUCUACUGUCACUUAUAGAUGGACCCGCGGUGUAUUAGCUAGUUGGUGAGGUAACGGCUCACCAAGGCAACGAUACAUAGCCGACCUGAGAGGGUGAUCGGCCACACUGGGACUGAGACACGGCCCAGACUCCUACGGGAGGCAGCAGUAGGGAAUCUUCCGCAAUGGACGAAAGUCUGACGGAGCAAUGCCGCGUGAGUGAAGAAGGUUUUCGGAUCGUAAAACUCUGUUGUAAGGGAAGAACAAGUACGUUAGUAACUGAACGUACCUUGACGGUACCUUACCAGAAAGCCACGGCUAACUACGUG
rnacentral:rRNA from 1 species